rnacentral:rRNA from 1 species
UACGUAGGGGGCAAGCGUUGUCCGGAAUCAUUGGGCGUAAAGAGCGUGUAGGCGGUUCGGUAAGUCGGCUGUGAAAGUCCAGGGCUCAACCCUGGGAUGCCGGUCGAUACUGCCGGACUAGAGUUCGGAAGAGGCGAGUGGAAUUCCUGGUGUAGCGGUGAAAUGCGCAGAUAUCAGGAAGAACACCCGUGGCUAAGGCGGCUCUCUAGUACGGUACUGACGCUGAGACGCGAAAGCGUGGGGAGCGAACAGG